GAUGAACGCUGGCGGCGUGCCUAAUACAUGCAAGUCGAACGCGCAGCGAAAGGUGCUUGCACCUUUCAAGCGAGUGGCGAACGGGUGAGUAACACGUGGAUAACCUGCCUCAAGGCUGGGGAUAACAUUUGGAAACAGAUGCUAAUACCGAAUAAAACUUAGUAUCGCAUGAUACAAAGUUAAAAGGCGCUACGGCGUCACCUAGAGAUGGAUCCGCGGUGCAUUAGUUAGUUGGUGGGGUAAAGGCUUACCAAGACGAUGAUGCAUAGCCGAGUUGAGAGACUGAUCGGCCAAAUUGGGACUGAGACACGGCCCAAACUCCUACGGGAGGCUGCAGUAGGGAAUCUUCCACAAUGGGCGCAAGCCUGAUGGAGCAACGCCGCGUGUGUGAUGAAGGCUUUCGGGUCGUAAAGCACCGUUGUAUGGGAAGAAAUGCUAAAAUAGGGAAUGAUUUUAGUUUGACGGUACCAUACCAGAAAGGGACGGCUAAAUACGUGCCAGCCGCCGCAGUAA
rnacentral:rRNA from 1 species